GAUGAACGCUAGCUACAGGCUUAACACAUGCAAGUCGCGGGGCAGCAUGGGGGUUGCUUGCAAUCCCCGAUGGCGACCGGCGCACGGGUGAGUAACGCGUAUCCAACCUGCCCUUCACCACGGGAUAACUCGGCGAAAGUCGGACUAAUACCGUAUGUUGUCCAUUGACGGCCUCCGAUUUGGACGAAAGGUUUGGCGGUGAAGGAUGGGGAUGCGUCCGAUUAGCUGGACGGCGGGGUGACGGCCCACCGUGGCGACGAUCGGUAGGGGUUCUGAGAGGAAGGUCCCCCACACUGGAACUGAGACACGGUCCAGACUCCUACGGGAGGCAGCAGUGAGGAAUAUUGGUCAAUGGGCGUAAGCCUGAACCAGCCAAGUAGCGUGCAGGAUGACGGCCCUAUGGGUUGUAAACUGCUUUUAUGCGGGGAUAAAGUGGCCCACGUGUGGGUUUUUGCAGGUACCGCAUGAAUAAGGACCGGCUAAUUCCGUG
rnacentral:rRNA from 1 species